rnacentral:rRNA from 1 species
UCCUUAGAUGUUCUGGGCCGCACGCGCGCUACACUGAUUCAUGCAACAAGUUUUGUCCUUGGCUGAUAGGCCUGGGUAAUCUUUGAACGUGAAUCGUGAUGGGGAUAGAUGAUUGCAAUUAUUCAUCUUCAACGAGGAAUUCCUAGUAAACGCAAGUCAUCAGCUUGCAUUGAUUACGUCCCUGCCCUUUGUACACACCGCCCGUCGCACCUACCGAUUGAAUGGUCCGGUGAAAUCUUCGGAUCUGAGAGAUGUCUGAUUAAUUUCGGACGCCUUUUGGAAAAGUUGUUUAAACCUUACCAUUUAGAGGAAGGUGAANUCGUANCA